rnacentral:pre_miRNA from 1 species
CAACUACUCCCUCUGUCCCAAAUUUCUUGUCUUAGAUUUGUCUAGAUACGGAUGUAUCUAAUACUAAAAUGUGACUUGAUACAUCUGUAUCUAGACAAAUCUAAGACAAGAAUUUUUGGACGGAGGGAGUACUUU